rnacentral:rRNA from 1 species
GACGGAGGAGGCAAGCGUUAUCCGGAAUUAUUGGGCGUAAAGCGUCCGCAGGUGGUUGUGUGUGUCUAUUGUCAAAGCAUCAUGCUUAACAUGAUAAAGGCAGUAGAAACUACACGACUAGAGUGCGUUCGGGGCAGAGGGAAUUCCUGGUGUAGCGGUGAAAUGCGUAGAGAUCAGGAAGAACACCGGUGGCGAAAGCGCUCUGCUAGGCCGCAACUGACACUGAGGGACGAAAGCUAGGGGAGCGAAUGGG